CUACGGGGUGCUCCAGUGAGGAGUAUUGCACAAUGGGGGGAACCCUGAUGCAGCAACGCCGCGUGGAGGAUGACGCAUUUCGGUGUGUAAACUCCUUUUAUAUGUCAAGAAAAUGACGGUAGCAUAUGAAUAAGCACCGGCUAACUCCGUGCCAGCAGCCGCGGUAAUACGGAGGGUGCAAGCGUUACUCGGAAUCACUGGGCGUAAAGGACGCGUAGGCGGGUUGGAAAGUCAGGUGUGAAAUCCUACAGCUUAACUGUAGAACUGCACUUGAAACUUCUAAUCUAGAGUAUGGGAGGGGGAGAUGGAAUUAGGGGUGUAGGGGCAAAAUCCGUAGAUAUCACUAGGAAUACCUAAAGCGAAGGCGAUCUCCUGGAACAUUACUGACGCUAAGGCGUGAAAGCGUGGGGAGCAAACAGGAUUAGAUACCCUAGUAGUC
rnacentral:rRNA from 1 species